rnacentral:rRNA from 1 species
AUUGAACGCUGGCGGCAUGCUUUACACAUGCAAGUCGAACGGUAACAGGGUGCUUGCACCGCUGACGAGUGGCGAACGGGUGAGUAAUACAUCGGAAUGUACCCAGUAAUGGGGGAUAACGCUUCGAAAGGAGUGCUAAUACCGCAUACGCCCUGAGGGGGAAAGUGGGGGACCGCAAGGCCUCACGUUAUUGGAGCAGCCGAUGGCUGAUUAGCUAGUUGGUGAGGUAAAGGCUCACCAAGGCGACGAUCAGUAGCGGGUCUUAGAGGACGAGCCGCCACUCGGGACCUGGGACACGGGCCAGACUCCUACGGGAGUCAGCAGUGGGGAAUAUUGGACAAUGGGCGCAAGCCUGAUCCAGCCAUGCCGCGUGUGUGAAGAAGGCCUUCGGGUUGUAAAGCACUUUCAGUAGGGAGGAAGCGUUGUGUGUUAAUAGUACACAGCGUUGACGUUACCUACAGAAGAAGCACCGGCUAACUCUGUGCCAGCAGCCGCCGUAAUAC